rnacentral:rRNA from 1 species
CCUACGGGUGGCAGCAGUGGGGAAUAUUGGACAAUGGGGGCAACCCUGAUCCAGCCAUGCCGCGUGUGUGAAGAAGGCCCUCGGGUUGUAAAGCACUUUCAGUGAGGAAGAACGCCUGGUGGUUAAUACCCAUUAGGAAAGACAUCACUCACAGAAGAAGCACCGGCUAACUCCGUGCCAGCAGCCGCGGUAAUACGGAGGGUGCGAGCGUUAAUCGGAAUUACUGGGCGUAAAGCGCGCGUAGGUGGCUUGAUAAGCCGGUUGUGAAAGCCCCGGGCUCAACCUGGGAACGGCAUCCGGAACUGUCAAGCUAGAGUGCAGGAGAGGAAGGUAGAAUUCCCGGUGUAGCGGUGAAAUGCGUAGAGAUCGGGAGGAAUACCAGUGGCGAAGGCGGCCUUCUGGACUGACACUGACACUGAGGUGCGAAAGCGUGGGUAGCAAACAGGAUUAGAUACCCUAGUAGUC